UACAGAGGGUGCGAGCGUUGUCCGGAAUCACUGGGCGUAAAGGGCGCGUAGGCGGCCCGGUAAGGUUGCGGUGAAAGCCCGGGGCUCAACCCCGGGUCGGCCGUGGCAACUGCUGGGCUGGAGCACAGUAGAGGCGGGUGGAAUUCCGGGUGUAGCGGUGGAAUGCGUAGAGAUCCGGAAGAACACCGGUGGUGUAAACGGCUUUCUGGACCAUAACUGACGCUGAGGCACGAAAGCGUGGGUAGCAAACAGG
rnacentral:rRNA from 1 species